rnacentral:rRNA from 1 species
AACGAACGCUGGCGGCAUGCCUAACACAUGCAAGUCGAACGAGAUCUUCGGGUCUAGUGGCGCACGGGUGCGUAACGCGUGGGAAUCUGCCCUUUGGUUCGGAAUAACAGUUGGAAACGACUGCUAAUACCGGAUGAUGACGACAGUCCAAAGAUUUAUCGCCAGAGGAUGAGCCGGCGUAGGAUUAGCUAGUUGGUGUGGUAAAGGCGCACCAAGGCGACGAUCCUUAGCUGGUCUGAGAGGAUGAUCAGCCACACUGGGACUGAGACACGGCCCAGACUCCUACGGGAGGCAGCAGUGGGGAAUAUUGGACAAUGGGCGAAAGCCUGAUCCAGCAAUGCCGCGUGAGUGAUGAAGGCCUUAGGGUUGUAAAGCUCUUUUACCCGGGAUGAUAAUGACAGUACCGGGAGAAUAAGCUCCGGCUAACUCCGUGCCAGCCGCCGCGGUAA